UACGUAGGUGGCGAGCGUUGUCCGGAAUUACUGGGUGUAAAGCGCGUGUAGGCGGGAGGCCAAGUCUGCGGUGAAAUCGCUCGGCUCAACUGGGCGGGGUCCGUGGAAACGUGGUCACCUGGAGGACGGUAGAGGCGGAGUGGAAUUCCCGGUGUAGUGGUGAAAUGCGUAGAGAUCGGGAGGAACACCAGUGGCGAAGGCGGCUCGCUGGGCCGGACCUGGACGCUGAGACGCGAAGGCGUGGGGAGCGAACGGGG
rnacentral:rRNA from 1 species